rnacentral:lncRNA from 1 species
CCGGUGAAUGACUUAGCCACUUAACCUUAUUAGGAGUAAUAUGUAUGUGGUAAAGGUUAGCUAAUGGGUUUAGCUAAUGAAAUACAAUUUAUGAUAUUACGAAGUGAAAGUGUAGGAGCAGGGAAAAAAAAAAAAAAAAAAAAAAGAAGGCCUCCUGGUUUGUGCCAAGGUUAAGUUUGUGGACUUCCAGCUGAGGCACGUGAGCCCAAGAUCUCCACCUGCUGAGGUAAUCAGCCAGCCCAGGCCUACAGGUAGCUGCAAGAAGCUUAACGUGUGGAGAAACUAACUUCUCCUUACAAAGAUAUGAUUCUAACUAUUUCGACCAGACUGUCUUGGGGCCCUACCUCUCAGGAACUGAGUGCUGGAAAACCUCCACUGGAAAAAAACAAAAAACCAAAAAAACAACAACACCCUUUUAAAAGAGAGGAUAUCAGAAGUAUACAUCUUUUAUCCAUGCCCCACACACUUGCAUGUGAAGGGAGAGCACCAGCUGUUUUUCUCAUGGAGGCACUAUGGAAAACACACCUCUCAAACUGGGGCUCACAGCCAGGACAACUGGUGAUGGUGACACAAAAAAGCAACUCAUCACAGGACGUCUCCUGCUCCCUGCUUCUAGGAGGAGACAGCUUGCAAGUGCAUGUUAACAAAUUCAAAUGCUAUAAAUGAGUUUUACAGUCCUCAGUGCUGCUUAUUCUCACCUCAUGAAUCCAGAAGUGUCUAUGAAUUUGAAGAAUUGUUUUGGGGAGAUGAUCUCAUCUCCCAGCUUUGCAUAUUCUCUAGUUUCGUUUUCCACAGCAACUUGUUCCAUGCACUCUGAGCUAGCAAGCCAAACUUUCCAGAAAUGGACAAACCCCUAUUGCUUUCCUUCCUCUUCCUUUCCUUGUGUUUGCUGGUUCAUCAGUUCAUCAUCUCACUGAGGGGCUACAGGUUUUGUCCAGCCACAGUAGUUAUUUCUUAUGUUUUUAAUAUUUUAUGUACUUUUUAUGUUCUCAAAAGCAGAAUUUUACAAUUCCAUAGAUCAAAUAAAUCCCAGGCCUUCUAAAAUCA